UGGAGUGGGGGGGCAGGAGGGGCUCAGGGAGAAAGUGCAUACAGCCCCUGGCCCUCUCUGCCCUUCCGUCCCCUG
ensembl:miRNA MIR328 microRNA 328